GAUGAACGCUAGCUACAGGCUUAACACAUGCAAGUCGCGGGGUAGCAUGGGGGUUGCUUGCAAUCCCCGAUGGCGACCGGCGCACGGGUGAGUAACGCGUAUCCAACCUGCCCUUCACCACGGGAUAACCCGGCGAAAGUCGGACUAAUACCGUAUGUUGUCCAUUGACGGCAUCCGAUUUGGACGAAAGGUUUGGCGGUGAAGGAGGGGGAUGCGUCCGAUUAGCUGGACGGCGGGGUGACGGCCCACCGUGGCGACGAUCGGUAGGGGUUCUGAGAGGAAGGUCCCCCACACUGGAACUGAGACACGGUCCAGACUCCUACGGGAGGCAGCAGUGAGGAAUAUUGGUCAAUGGGCGUAAGCCUGAACCAGCCAAGUAGCGUGCAGGAUGACGGCCCUAUGGGUUGUAAACUGCUUUUAUGCGGGGAUAAAGUGGCCCACGUGUGGGUUUUUGCAGGUACCGCAUGAAUAAGGACCGGCUAAUUCCGUG
rnacentral:rRNA from 1 species